rnacentral:rRNA from 1 species
ACUCCUACGGGAGGCAGCAGUGGGGAAUAUUGGACAAUGGGGGCAACCCUGAUCCAGCAAUGCCGCGUGAGUGAUGAAGGCCUUAGGGUUGUAAAGCUCUUUUGGCGGGGACGAUGAUGACGGUACCCGCAGAAUAAGCCCCGGCUAACUUCGUGCCAGCAGCCGCGGUAAUACGAAGGGGGCUAGCGUUGUUCGGAAUUACUGGGCGUAAAGCGUGCGCAGGCGGUCUGUUAAGACCGAUGUGAAAUCCCCGGGCUUAACCUGGGAACUGCAUUGGUGACUGGCAGGCUUGGAGUGUGGCAGAGGGAGGUAGAAUUCCACGUGUAGCAGUGAAAUGCGUAGAGAUGUGGAGGAAUACCGAUGGCGAAGGCAGCCUCCUGGGCCAACACUGACGCUCAUGCACGAAAGCGUGGGGAGCAAACAGGAUUAGAUACCCUGGUAGUCCACGCCCUAAACGAUGUCAACUAGUUGUUGGGGAUUCAUUUCCUUAGUAACGUAGCUAACGCGUGAAGUUGACCGCCUGGGGAGUACGGUCGCAAGAUUAAAACUCAAAGGAAUUG